rnacentral:rRNA from 1 species
UGGCUCAGGACGAACGCUGGCGGCAUGCCUAACACAUGCAAGUCGAACGGGGGUAGCAAUACCCUAGUGGCGAACGGGUGAGUAACACAUAAGCAAUCUGCCCUUCACAGGGGGAUAACAGCGGGAAACUGCUGCUAAUACCGCAUAAGACCACGGUACCGCAUGGUACAGGGGUAAAAACGAAUCAGUGGUGAAGGAUGAGCUUAUGUCCCAUUAGCUAGUUGGUGAGAUAACAGCCCACCAAGGCGACGAUGGGUAGCCGGCCUGAGAGGGUGAUCGGCCACACUGGAACUGAGACGCGGUCCAGACUCCUACGGGAGGCAGCAGUGGGGAAUAUUGGGCAAUGGAAGGAAACUCUUACCCAGCAAUGCCGCGUGAGUGAAGAAGGUCUUCGGAUUGUAAAGCUCUUUGAUUGGGGACGAAGAAAGUGACGGUACCCAAAGAACAAGCCCCGGCUAACUACGUGCCAGCCGCCGC